UCGCUAUAAGAUGGGCCCGCGGCGCAUUAGCUAGUUGGUGAGGUAACGGCUCACCAAGGCGACCAUGCGUAGCCCACCUGAGAGGGUGAUCGGCCACACUGGGACUGAGACACGGCCCAGACUCCUACGGGAGGCAGCAGUAGGGAAUCUUCCACAAUGGGCGAAAGCCUGAUGGAGCAACGCCGCGUGAGUGAAGAAGGAUUUCGGUUCGUAAAACUCUGUUGUAAGGGAAGAACAAGUACAGUAGUAACUGGCUGUACCUUGACGGUACCUUAUUAGAAAGCCACGGCUAACUACGUGCCAGCAGCCGCGGUAAUACGUAGGUGGCAAGCGUUGUCCGGAAUUAUUGGGCGUAAAGCGCGCGCAGGUGGUUUCUUAAGUCUGAUGUGAAAGCCCACGGCUCAACCGUGGAGGGUCAUUGGAAACUGGGAGACUUGAGUGCAGAAGAAGAUAGUGGAAUUCCCAGUGUAGCGGUGAAAUGCGUAGAGAU
rnacentral:rRNA from 1 species